AGCAGCCGCGGUAAUUCCAGCUCCAAUAGCGUAUAUUAAAGUUGUUGCAGUUAAAAAGCUCGUAGUUGAAUUUCGGGAUCAAUACGUCGGUCGUGCUUCGGUACGUACUGGCGUCAUUGAUUUCUCCCUUCUGACGAACCAUGAUGUCAUUAACUUGGUGUCAUGGGAAAUCAGGACUGUUACUUUGAAAAAAUUAGAGUGUUUAAAGCAGGCUCACGCUUGAAUACAUUAGCAUGGAAUAAUGAAAUAGGACGUUCGAUCCUAUUUUGUUGGUUUUAGGAUCAACGUAAUGAUUAAUAGGGAUAGUUGGGGGCAUUAGUAUUCAAUUGUCAGAGGUGAAAUUCUUGGAUUUAUUGAAGACUAGCUACUGCGAAAGCAUUUGCCAAGGAUGUUUUCAUUAAUCAAGAACGAAAGUUAGGGGAUCGAAGACGAUCAGAUACCGUCGUAGUC
rnacentral:rRNA from 1 species